AUUGAACGCUGGCGGCAGGCCUAACACAUGCACGUCGAGCGAGCGGCGGACGGGUGAGUAAUGUCUGGGAAACUGCCUGAUGGCGGGGGAUAUCUACUGGAAACGGUAGCUAAUACCGCAUACCAUCAGAUUUGCCCAGAUGGGAUUAGCUAGUAGGUGGGGUAACGGAUCACCUAGGCGACGAUCCCUAGCUGGUCUGAGAGGAUGACCAGGGACAAUGGAACGGAGACACGGUCCAGACGGGUAAGGGAGGCAGGAGGGGGGAAUAUUGCACAAGGGGCGAAAGCCUGAUGCAGCAAUGCGGGGUGUGUGAAGAAGGAGUUCGGGUUGGAAAGCACUGUCAGCGGGGAGGCGUUACCCGAAGAAGAAGCACCGGCUAACUCCGUGCCAGCCGCCGCGGUAAUAC
rnacentral:rRNA from 1 species